GGCCUUGUAGUGUAGCCGGUUAUCACGGCGGAUUCUGAUUAGAUAUCCGAUUUCCGUCAACCCAGGUUCGAGUCCUGGCAAGGCCU